rnacentral:rRNA from 1 species
UACGUAGGGUGCAAGCGUUAAUCGGAAUUACUGGGCGUAAAGCGUGCGCAGGCGGUGAUGUAAGACAGGGUGUGAAAUCCCCGGGCUUAACCUGGGACUGCAUUUGUGACUGCAUCGCUGGAGUGCGGCAGAGGGGGAUGGAAUUCCGCGUGUAGCAGUGAAAUGCGUAGAUAUGCGGAGGAACACCGAUGGCGAAGGCAAUCCCCUGGGCCUGCACUGACGCUCAUGCACGAAAGCGUGGGGAGCAAACAGG